GGAGGGUGCAAGCGUUGUUCGGAGUUAUUGGGCGUAAAGAGCGUGUAGGCGGUCCGGUAAGUCAGAUGUGAAAGCCCUGGGCUCAACCCAGGAAGUGCAUUUGAAACUACCAGACUUGAGUACGGGAGAGGAGGGGGGAAUUCCCGGUGUAGAGGUGAAAUUCGUAGAUAUCGGGAGGAAUACCAGUGGCGAAGGCGCCCUCUGGACCGAUACUGACGCUGAGACGCGAAAGCGUGGGGAGCAAACAGGAUUAGAUACCCUGGUAGUCCACGCCGUAAACGAUGAGCACUAGGUGUAGCGGGUAUUGACCCCCCUGCUGUGCCCGUAGCUAACGCAUUAAGUGCUCCGCCUGGGGACUACGGUCGCAAGACUA
rnacentral:rRNA from 1 species